rnacentral:rRNA from 1 species
GAUGAACGCUGGCGGCGUGCUUAACACAUGCGAGUCGAACGAAGCACUUUAACCUGAUUCUUCGGAUGAAGGUUUUUGUGACUGAGUGGCGGACGGGUGAGUAACGCGUGGGUAACCUGCCUCAUACAGGGGGAUAACAGUUAGAAAUGACUGCUAAUACCGCAUAAGACCACAGAGCCGCAUGGCUCGGUGGGAAAAACUCCGGUGGUAUGAGAUGGACCCGCGUCUGAUUAGGUAGUUGGUGGGGUAACGGCCUACCAAGCCAACGAUCAGUAGCCGACCUGAGAGGGUGACCGGCCACAUUGGGACUGAGACACGGCCCAAACUCCUACGGGAGGCAGCAGUGGGGAAUAUUGCACAAUGGGGGAAACCCUGAUGCAGCGACGCCGCGUGAGCGAAGAAGUAUUUCGGGAUGUAAAGCUCUAUCAGCAGGGAAGAAAAUGACGGUACCUGACGAAGAAGCACCGGCUAAAUACGUG